rnacentral:rRNA from 1 species
UACGUAGGGGGCGAGCGUUGUCCGGAAUUAUUGGGCGUAAAGGGUGCGUCGGCGGUCUAUUAAGUCUGGUGUGAAAGCCCACAGCUUAACUGUGGAGGGUCAUUGGAAACUGGUAGACUUGAGUGUAAUAGAGGUGAGUGGAAUUCCACGUGUAGCGGUGAAAUGCGUAGAGAUGUGGAGGAACACCAGUGGCGAAGGCGACUCACUGGAUUAUUACUGACGCUGAGGCACGAAAGCGUGGGGAGCAAAUAGG